CGGAGGGGCUAGCGUUGUUCGGAAAUACUGGGCGUAAAGCGCACGUAGGCGGCUCAGCAAGUCAGGGGUGAAAUCCCGGGGCUCAACCCCGGAACUGCCCUUGAAACUGCUAGGCUAGAAUCUUGGAGAGGUCAGUGGAAUUCCGAGUGUAGAGGUGAAAUUCGUAGAUAUUCGGAAGAACACCAGUGGCGAAGGCGACUGACUGGACAAGUAUUGACGCUGAGGUGCGAAAGCGUGGGGAGCAAACAGGAUU
rnacentral:rRNA from 1 species